AACGAACGCUGGCGGCAUGCCUAACACAUGCAAGUCGAACGAUGGCUUCGGCCAUAGUGGCGCACGGGUGAGUAACACGUGGGAACCUGCCUUUCGGUUCGGAAUAACGUUUGGAAACGAACGCUAACACCGGAUACGCCCUUUGGGGGAAAGUUUACGCCGAAAGAGGGGCCCGCGGCCGAGUAGGUAGUUGGUGGGGUAAUGGCCCACCAAGCCGACGAUCGGUAGCUGGUCUGAGAGGAUGAUCAGCCACACUGGGACUGAGACACGGCCCAGACUCCUACGGGAGGCAGCAGUGGGGAAUAUUGGACAAUGGGCGCAAGCCUGAUCCAGCAAUGCCGCGUGAGUGAUGAAGGCCUUAGGGUUGUAAAGCUCUUUCGCACGUGACGAUGAUGACGGUAACGUGAGAAGAAGCCCCGGCUAACUUCGUGCCAGCCGCCGCGGUAAGAC
rnacentral:rRNA from 1 species